rnacentral:rRNA from 1 species
UACGAAGGGGGGCUAGCGUUGCUCGGAAUUAUUGGGCGUAAAGAGCUCGUAGGCGGUCUGUCGCGUCUGCUGUGAAAUCCCGAGGCUCAACCUCGGGCCUGCAGUGGGUACGGGCAGACUAGAGUGCGGUAGGGGGAGAUUGGAAUUCCUGGUGUAGCGGUGGAAUGCGCAGAUAUCAGGAGGAACACCGAUGGCGAAGGCAGAUCUCUGGGCCGUAACUGACGCUGAGGAGCGAAAGCGUGGGGAGCAACAGG